UACAGAGGGUGCGAGCGUUAAUCGGAAUUACUGGGCGUAAAGCGCGCGUAGGUGGCUAUGCAAGUCGGAUGUGAAAUCCCCGGGCUCAACCUGGGAACUGCAUUCGAGACUGCAUUGCUCGAGUAUGGGAGAGGGAAGUGGAAUUUCCGGUGUAGCGGUGAAAUGCGUAGAUAUCGGAAGGAACAUCAGUGGCGAAAGCGGCUCACUGGCCCGAUACUGACGCUGAGGCACGAAAGCGUGGGGAGCAAACAGG
rnacentral:rRNA from 1 species